rnacentral:piRNA from 1 species
AUACAAACCAUCACAAUGGUUAUGGGUGU